UGUAGCAAGGUUAACCGAAUAGGGGAGCCGAAGGGAAACCGAGUCUUAACUGGGCGUUAAGUUGCAGGGUAUAGACCCGAAACCCGGUGAUCUAGCCAUGGGCAGGUUGAAGGUUGGGUAACACUAACUGGAGGACCGAACCGACUAAUGUUGAAAAAUUAGCGGAUGACUUGUGGCUGGGGGUGAAAGGCCAAUCAAACCGGGAGAUAGCUGGUUCUCCCCGAAAGCUAUUUAGGUAGCGCCUCGUGAAUUCAUCUCCGGGGGUAGAGCACUGUUUCGGCAAGGGGGUCAUCCCGACUUACCAACCCGAUGCAAACUGCGAAUACCGGAGAAUGUUAUCACGGGAGACACACGGCGGGUGCUAACGUCCGUCGUGAAGAGGGAAACAACCCAGACCGCCAGCUAAGGUCCCAAAGUCAUGGUUAAGUGGGAAACGAUGUGGGAAGGCCCAGACAGCCAGGAUGUUGGCUUAGAAGCAGCCAUCAUUUAAAGAAAGCGUAAUAGCUCACUGGUCGAGUCGGCCUGCGCG
rnacentral:rRNA from 1 species